AUUGCUUCUCGGCCUUUUGGCUAAGAUCAAGUGUAGUAAAUAUUUUGAUGAUGAAAACUAUUUGACAAUUA
rnacentral:snRNA from 1 species